GACGAACGCUGGCGGCACGCCUAACACAUGCAAGUCGAGCGGAGAUAAGAGCUUGCUCUUAUCUUAGCGGCGGACGGGUGAGUAACACGUGAGGAACCUGCCUUUCAGAGGGGAAUAACGUUUGGAAACGAACGCUAAUACCGCAUAAUGUAUCGAUGUGGCAUCAUAUUGAUACCAAAGGAGAAAUCCGCUGAAAGAUGGCCUCGCGUCUGAUUAGCUAGUUGGUGAGGUAAUGGCUCACCAAGGCGACGAUCAGUAGCCGGACUGAGAGGUUGAACGGCCACAUUGGGACUGAGACACGGCCCAGACUCCUACGGGAGGCUG
rnacentral:rRNA from 1 species